rnacentral:rRNA from 1 species
UAAAACGGGACGGCCCGCCAGAGGACCCCUAAACUCUGUUUCUAUAUGUAACUUCUGAGUAAAACCAUAAAUAAAUCAAAACUUUCAACAACGGAUCUCUUGGUUCUGGCAUCGAUGAAGAACGCAGCAAAAUGCGAUAAGUAAUGUGAAUUGCAGAAUUCAGUGAAUCAUCGAAUCUUUGAACGCACAUUGCGCCCGCCAGUAUUCUGGCGGGCAUGCCUGUUCGAGCGUCAUUUCAACCCUCAAGCCCAGCUUGGUCAUGGGACUCGCGAGUCAAAUCGCGUUCCCCAAAUUGAUUGGCGGUCACGUCGAGCUUCCAUAGCGUAGUAGUAAAACCCUCGUUACUGGUAAUCGUCGCGGCCACGCCGUUAAAGGCAAUGUUGACCUCGAAUCAGGUAGGAAUACCCGCUGAACUUAAGCAUAUCAUAAGCCCAGGUU